AACCCCUCCGGCUCCCCCAGCAGUGAGGCCGAGCGCACACGCCCCCCUCCGCUCGGCUUUCCGCGCAAUUCUCGCGCAACGCACCCCCACCCCUUUUUCUUUAUUAUUAUUUUUUUUCUUCUGUAUGUUUGUUGUUGUUUUCUUUUUCCCCCUUUUUUAUUUUCGCUUUUCCCUCCCCCCACGCUCCCCUCGGAGGAGAAACUUUGCGAGGGGAUCCGCGUCCAGCGUGCAGGGCAGUGAUGCAGCCCCUCUGAUCGCUCUUCAGCCCUGUGAGGGAACCCACAUUGCCUGCAACAGUGACUACAAAGACCAGAGUGUGAGUUACCAGCUGAGACUUUUGGACCUGGGAUAACAAGCUGCAAACCUCUUCAACUGCCUCACGCGUCAAAAGACUCUCCAUCUGUCAUUAAUAUGCAUCAAAGAUAAGGAUGCCUGUGGGUCAGGAUGAGCAGAAAAACAGUCCUACUCUGCAACAGAGAAUUCAAGGAGCCCAGGGACCUAACCCAAAUCUGGAGGGAGAGUUUUAGAAAAGCAUUUAAGUGGCAGGUUCCAGUGCAAGUCAGAACCAUGCUUGUAAAUCAACAAGAUCCUUUAAAAAUCCCACCGUGUCACCUGCCCUCAGCAUCUAGAGUGGUUGUUUAUUUUGCAGACAUCUUCACAAUUCCAUUCUCAAGAUUAUAAUUCACUUGGUGGUACCGCAGUUCUCGCACCCUUGAAGUUAAGUAAAUGGUUAAGUGCAGUGGUGGUUCAGAGCUAGAAGACUCUCUACCUUGCAGGAUUGAGCCCUUUAAUCUAUUCUUAUUUCCUUUUCAAUUUCUGCAAGUAACCCCAAGCAAGCUGGAAACACUAAGUGCAAAGUUACGGGAGAUGACUGUGGCAAUUUCUGAAUGACAAGAGCAUUUAAAAGAAAUGUCAAGAGUCUGUGGGCUGCAAGCUUUUAUGUUUCAAGGAGAAACAAAAAGAAAGGAGGGACAAUAAAUCAAACACAACAGCUUAGCGUGCUCCAUCUCUCAGAGUUAACCUCUUGAAAGCCAUGUCCCCGGCACAGAGUGGGCCACACUCUUUGAUAGGGUCCAUUAUUCUCUGUAGAGCAAUAGAGGUGGUAUGGUGGGCUCCUCCGUGCGUGCCCAGGGGCUGUGUACACUGCGCCUUGCUUAACAUGUGCUCUGCAUUUAUGGGUUAACAUCAAACAUGAGCUGAUUUAUAAUUCUUAAUCAAAAAAGGAUUAUAACCUAAUAAAUCCUACU
rnacentral:lncRNA from 7 species